AUAAAGUUCAAUUUGGACCCUUUAGACCUCAAUGUGGACCAAUCUGAUAACCGGGCCCAAACAUCAAAAAAUCUAAAUACAUGGUUAGAUUAAGCAUAUAUCAAAGAACCCCAUAUAUACAAUUUUUGUUGAAAUCAAACAAAGUUUAAUUUUGGACUGCAAUUUGGACCAACUUGAAAACUGGGCCUAUAAUCAAAAAUCUAAACAGGUUUAGAUUCAGCAUAUCAAAGAACCCCAAGGAUUCAAUUUUUGCUGAUAUCAAAUAAAGUUUAAUUUUGGACCAUGAUUUGGACCAACUUGAAAACUGGGCCCAUAAUAAAAAUUAUAAAUACAUGUUUAGAUUCAGCAUAUCAAAGAACCCCAAGGAUUCAAUUUUUGUUGAAAUCAAACAAAGUUUAAUUUUGGACCACGAUUUGGACCAACUUGAAAACUGGGCCCAUAAUAAAAUAAUCUAAGUACAUGUUUAGAUUCAGCAUAUCAAAAACCCCACGAAUUCAAUUUUUGUUGAAAUCAAACAAAGUUUAAUUUUGGACCCCAAUUUGGACCAACUUGAAAACUGGGCCAAUAAUCAAUAAAAAUCUAUAUACAUGUUUAGAUUCAGCAUAUCAAAGAACCCCAAGAAUUCAAUUUUUGUUAAAAUCACAACUUAGUUUAAUUUUGGACCCUUUGGACCUUAAUGUAGACCAAUUUGAAAAUGGGACCCAACAUUAAGAAUCUACAAACACAGUUAGAUUCGGCAUAUCAAAGAACCCCAAUUAUUCUAUUUUUGAUGAAUUCAAACAAAGUUUAAUUUGGACCCUUUGGGCCCCUUAUUCCUAAACGGUUGGGACCAAAACUCCCAAAAUCAAUCCCAACCUUCCUUUUAUGGUCAUAAACCUUGUGUUUAAAUUUCAUAGAUUUCUAUUUACUUAUACUUAAGUUAUGGUGCGAAAACCAAGAAAAAUGCUUAUUUGGGCUCCUUUUUGGCCCCUGAUUCUUAAACCGUUGGGACCUCAACUCCCAAAAUCAAUCCCAACCUUCCUUUUGUGUUCAUAAACCUUGUUUUUAAUUUUUGGCCCCUAAUUCCAAACUGUUGGAACCAAAACUCCCAAAAUCAAUCCCAACCUUCCUUUAGUGGUCAGAAACCUUGUGUCAAAAUUUCAUACAUUUCUAUUUACUUAAAACUAAAGUUAUAGUGCGAAAACCAAGAAAAUGCUUAUUUGGCCUUUUUGCCCUAAUUCAAACUGUUGGGACCAAAACUUCCAAAAUCAAUC
rnacentral:lncRNA from 1 species